GACGAACCGUGCGAACGUUGUUCGGAAUCACUGGGCUUAAAGGGCGCGUAGGCGGGUCACCAAGUCCGGGGUGAAAUCUUUCGGCUCAACCGGAAAAUUGCCUUGGAUACUGGUGGUCUUGAGGGAGGUAGGGGCAUGUGGAACUUCCGGUGGAGCGGUGAAAUGCGUUGAUAUCGCUUGGAACGCCGACGGUGAAAACAGGUUGCUGGGGAUGUGCCGACGCUGAGACACGAAAGCCAGGGGAGCAAAGCGGG
rnacentral:rRNA from 1 species